rnacentral:rRNA from 1 species
AUUGAACGCUGGCGGCAGGCCUAACACAUGCAAGUCGAGCGGAGCGGCGGACGGGUGCGUAAUGCCUAGGAAUCUGCCUGGUCGUGGGGGAGAACGUCCGGAAACGGACGCUAAUACCGCCUACUCGCCCAUGCGCCUAGGUCGGAGUAGCUAGUUGGUGGGGUAAAGGCCUACCAAGGCGACGAUCCCUAACUGGUCUGAGAGGAUGAUCAGUCACACGGGAACUGAGACACGGCCCAGACUCCUGCGGGAGGCAGCAGUGGGGAAUAUUGGACAAUGGGCGAAAGCCUGAUGCAGCCAUGCCGCGUGUAUGAAGAAGGCCUUCGGAUUGUAAAGUACUUUAAGUUGGGAGGCGUUACCAACAGAAUAAGCACCGGCUAACUCCGUGCCAGCAGCCGCGGUAAUAC